rnacentral:misc_RNA from 1 species
UUGGUGGCAGUGGCCGGCAGCUACGACCUUCGGUCCCUGAGAUAUUCAGGGAAAAACACUCUCCAUUAUAAGCGAAUGGGACGGUCAGUAGUGAAUGUAGCAGCAGUAGCAGCAGUACAACAGACCCAUAUUACUACUAUAUGAUUAUUAUAUAGUGUUAUUAUAAUUACAUACACACAGAGAGAUCCAAAGUGUGUUGUUAUUAUUACAUUAUUACAUACUGUUGUUAACAAACACACGACCAUCAUGUCAUCAGUACGGUUACCAUUAGUAGUAGUAGUAGAAGUACAAGUAUUUCAUUCUAUUGUUGU